rnacentral:rRNA from 1 species
CUACGGGGGGCUCCAGUGGGGAAUAUUGCACAAUGGAGGAAACUCUGAUGCAGCAACGCCGCGUGGAGGAUGACACUUUUCGGAGCGUAAACUCCUUUUAUAUAGGAAGAAGAUGACGGUACUAUAUGAAUAAGCGCCGGCUAACUCCGUGCCAGCAGCCGCGGUAAUACGGAGGGCGCAAGCGUUACUCGGAAUCACUGGGCGUAAAGAGCGUGUAGGCGGAUUAAAAAGUCAGAAGUGAAAUCCUAUAGCUUAACUAUAGAACUGCUUCUGAAACUCUUAAUCUAGAAUGUGGGAGAGGUAGAUGGAAUUUCUGGUGUAGGGGUAAAAUCCGUAGAGAUCAGAAGGAAUACCGAUUGCGAAGGCGAUCUACUAGAACAUUAUUGACGCUGAGACGCGAAAGCGUGGGGAGCAAACAGGAUUAGAUACCCGUGUAGUC